UACGUAGGCAGCGAGCGUUGUUCGGAGUUACUGGGCGUAAAGCGUGCGUAGGCGGUUGGCAAAGUCAGCUGUGAAAGCCCCGGGCUUAACCUGGGAAUGGCGGUUGAAACUAGUCGACUAGAAUCUGGCAGAGGGGGGUGGAAUUCCACGUGUAGCAGUGAAAUGCGUAGAGAUGUGGAGGAACACCGAUGGCGAAGGCAGCCCCCUGGGCUGAGAUUGACGCUCAGGCACGAAAGCGUGGGGAGCAAACAGG
rnacentral:rRNA from 1 species